GGUACCAUAGGUGGCUCAUGUAUCUCUUUUUUCUCCCUUUUCACCGUAAUAAUCUUUUUGUUUUGCUAGCAUUUUUACUGUUAUCAUAAACAAACAAUCAACAGAGAGAGAGGAGAGAGAAAUUGCGUGAAAAGACCAAUUUGACCUUCGACAUUCUUCUUCUUCCUCUCUCUCGCUCGAUCUCUGCUUCAUUCGUUGAUCAUCGCAUUCGUAUAAUCAUCAUGAACGAGAAGGCCAACGUUUCUAAGGAGCUCAACGCCAAGCACAAAAAGGUAUUGGAAGGACUUCUUAAAUUACCAGAGAAUAGGGAGUGUGCUGACUGCAAAGCUAAAGGCCCAAGAUGGGCUAGUGUCAAUCUUGGCAUCUUUAUUUGCAUGCAGUGUUCAGGAAUACAUCGAAGUCUUGGGGUACACAUUUCAAAGGUUCGCUCUGCUACUUUGGACACCUGGCUUCCAGAUCAGGUUGCAUUCAUUCAAUCUAUGGGAAAUGAGAAAGCAAAUAGUUACUGGGAAGCAGAAUUACCCCCAAAUUAUGACAGAGUUGGCAUUGAAAAUUUCAUUCGUGCAAAGUAUGAAGAUAAGAGAUGGGUUGCAAAGGACAGUAAGCCCAGAUCACCUUCUAGACUGCUAGAAGAGAAAACUGCUUCACAAUGGCAAAAGCCUGUGGAAAGAGCUGGGCAUAAUUAUGUUGCUGAGAAUACUUUUAACGAAAGGAAGAAAUACCAACCAUCAAAUGCAAUUCCUGCUAUUAGAAUUAGUGUUCCUGCUCCUCCUAAAGGACCUGAGCAGGUAACUCCAGUGACUAAACAUCAGCAUAUUGAGAGAGUGGAACCUCUGGUGCCACAAGUGCAAGCUGAAACAUCACAGACGACUAGCACAGUUCAUAAUUCCCCUCCAAAAGUUGACUUUGCUACGGAUCUUUUUGACAUGUUGUCUAUGGAUGCUCCAAACGAAAAGGGCUCAAACGCAGCUGAUGCUAGUGCUGACGAUGAUAACAACUGGGCAGGUUUUCAGAGUGCUGGAGAGACAUCGACGGCUGAGAAAACUGACACUGGGAAAUCAGUUGAGAGUACACCCCAGCUCACCUCUGGAAUUGAGGAUCUAUUUAAAGACUCAUCUUCAGUGACGCCAAGUUCUGCUCUUGAAAAACCACAAAAGGAUGUAAAAAAUGAUAUUAUGAGCCUCUUUGAAAAGACCAAUAUAGUGUCGCCAUUUGCUAUGCAUCAACAGCAAUUGGCUAUGCUGGCCCAGCAACAGUCUCUUCUAAUGGCUGCUGCUGUUAAAUCUGCCAAUGGGGAUUCCAAAUAUCCUGCCAAUGUACAGCAACCUGGUUCCAAUGUUCCUGUUCAAAGUUGGCCAGCUGGAAGCUAUCCAAUUCCUGGAGUAAUGCCCAUAGGUGGUCAGGCUGAUUUGCAGAAACUUAUGCAGACAAUGAACAUGACUUCGGCGCAUCCAGCAGGGAGCUCAGUUCAGUAUCCACCGUCUAGAAUUUUGAGCAAUCUUAUGUUUGGUGCCAAUCAGAAGGAAAUAUGUUCGACAAAUCAAUAUAUAGAGCAUAGACUGCUGUAGAUUUUGCUGCCCAAUAUGCCACUUUAAAUUUGAGAACCCAUGCUAAAGAUACAAUUUGCCAGGAUUAUAGAUUGGGAAGUUAUUUUACGAUGGCGCAAGUUGCUCCAGUUAAUGGCACGACAACAUCGAGUAAACCUCAGUCAGCAACUCCGGUAUCAUCAACCACUACACAAACGGCGAAUGAUUAUGAUUUUUCCUCAUUAACACAAGGAAUGUUUGCGAAACCCUGAUUGGCCGCAAUGUCAUAUAUACCACGGAAAAUUAGUUGAAGUUACAGAAAAGUGGAGUUGCUUCUUCACCUUUCCCUUGACUCGUCAUUGGGUUGUAAACCAUUUGUAGAGAUAUUGAGCUAGUUCAAUUUUUUUCUCUAUUUUUGAUAUGAAAUUUUCUCUCUUGUUCUGGUGAUUGCAUAAUUUGUAUCAAUAGGUGUAUUCACAAUAAAAUUCAGUGUUAUUAUUAUAUGGCCCUGUAUUUCCUUCCGUCUGUAUCUUCCGGGUGUUUGGUCUUUUUUCACCACGUUGUACAAAAACAUGUCCAAUUAUAUUUCAAAUAUUGAAGUUUCGUAAUUGUUAAUUA